UCUACUCUAGCAGAAUUUCAGGUUCAGCCAGGAGUCCACACCCUUCUAUUGUACCAGAGGCUCAGGAAUCAAGGAGCAACACUCAUGCCCAGACGUGAACCUGCCUGAGCUGGCUGAAGGUUGUUAUCACUGAGGAAAUUCUCACUUGGAUAUAAGCAACCAGGAAAAAGCUGAAAAAAGAUUCGGAUUGGAUCACAUGCCUGAAUUUGACCAAUCACAGUACAGUGCACAGAAGGAGUUAAAAUGUCUCUUGAAGCU
rnacentral:lncRNA from 1 species